UUUUUCUUCUUUUAACUUGCAUUCCUCUCUCUCCUCAUCUAUAACGGAAAAAAAUCCUCUGCCACACUUUCAAUUUCUACGCGUUUCAUCUUCCUCUCUAAAGCUUGAUUCGUCCACCCAUUUCCUAUUUAGCCAUGGCUGCUUAUCUGCGUUUUGUUUUGUCUGCUCCGAUAAUUCUACCAUUGAAGAAGCUAUCAUGCCUUUCUUAUCAUCGUCUUCGUCGAUCCCUUCUCCGCCUCCACCACCUGCGUUUUUUACUCGAAGAGGAGUUGAAACAAAUCGCUGCCUACAAACCCGUUGAGUUAAUAUUUACUCAUUCUUACUCAACGCAUCCAAAACGAAACUGUAAGCUUCCUUUUGGGGAAGUAUCCCUUCAUCAUGCUCUCGUGAGCGAUCCCAUAUGAGACAAACCCUAACUUCUCUUUUAAUUCCUCGUACAAAGCUGAAACUCCAUUCGAAUCCGACUACUUGAAUCGGUUGCGAGUCUUGCGACAGAACGAGCACAAAUUCGCCAUGUUUCUGAGGAUGUAUUAAAGGAAGCCGAAGCAAUCGGUCGAAAAAUCCAUCGAUAAAUUGGGUUCUCUCUUUCUAAUUCGGUCUGCUUGGGAAUUGCCCCUAAACUUUCUUUGCCUCUCUGUUCCUGCUGUUCGCAGAAAAACUUCACAGGAGAGGAACAUAUCAAGGGCAGCCUCUGCCAGUGCUCGUCCAGCCCUCUCUUUCAAGUUUUGUUAGUGUGGAAGAAGACGAUGGCGAAUAAAGUUUAUGUUGUUUUUGAGGGAUACAACCAAGGAAUAUACCAGACUGUAUUUCAGUCAUAUCGUUCUUUAGCUGAAGCAGAACGCGAGUAGUAUGCCUUUCAGUCAAAAAGCAAUAUUUACAAGGACGGUAGAUCAUCACAAGGGAAUUCCUUCAUUGAAAAAACUGAAUCUUUAGGAGCGGGCCCUAGAUGUUUGGAUGAGAUUCCUUCAGAUGGAAAUAUCUGCAUGUUCGGUAACUUCUUUGCCUCCUCUUUAAGCCUGCGCAACAGAGGAGCCCCAGAGCCCCUCCACCCCUGUCUCUGGUCAUAUACAACAUGGUUUGCCUCUGUUGUUGCUGUUCAAAGAAAACGUCACGGAGUCUGGUUCCUCCUCUGUAAUUUAGGUAAGGCCUCUUCAUCAUUUACCUUUUUUUUUUUCCCAUCCACAUCAACAAUCUGUGUGAACCCAUUUACAGUUAAAUUUGGACAACCAUUUUGGCGAUUGGCAGCCGAUGUUAAAGAAGUUUGUAAACCUGCUUAAGGUUAAUGAACUUUUCUACUCUUCCAGGUCCUUGGAAAUGCAAAAGGAGCGGUGGCUGUGGUGGUCUCUAUUCUAAUCUUUAGAAAUCCUGUUUCAGUGACUAGAAUGCUUGGUUACUCGCUAACAGUUAUGGGAGUUAUCCUUUACGGCGAAGUGAAGAAACGGAGCAAGUGAAGAAACCGUCUGUUGAAUAGGCAUACAAAUACAGGAAUGUGUUUUCUUGUAUUUUAUCUUUUUUUAUUAUGAGGGUCGCAACAUGAUUCUUGGAGCUGAGAUUGGAAACACAUUAGUUUGAGGCUCGUUCAGAGAGAUGGGAUGUUUCUAUGGGUGGUUGCCCCUCUAUGAGAUUUGAGAAUUUUCUCAAAUUAGCGCUGAUGAUUCUCUAAAACUCAACAGCUCUUAUCUCGUCUACCAAAAAAAAACUGAGAUUGGUGCUAUUCAGCCGAUUUCAUAUCUUGCACCCUCCAAAGUCCUUUUGUCGGAGACCGGCGAUAGGGUUUCCACCUGUAUCAAGCAUCAAUAGCAACGGCAGCUUAGGAAAGGCUAGGAAAAUCUCAAUCAGAGGACUCAUUGGUCUGUCUUUUCUUCCCAUGAUAGAGGAAUGUGUACUAUUCUUUUCAAGGACAGAAUUGAGUCUCUUUGCCCAAUUUUUUUUUUUUUUUAGUCAUUUUGACAUUUCUUGAUUAAUUAAUGGAAGAUAUUUUGAUACUUUUAA